UUCGAGUGGCGGACGGGUGAGUAACGCGUGGGUAACCUGCCUUACACAGGGGGAUAACACCUGGAAACAGGUGCUAAUACCGCAUAAGCGCACAGGGCCGCAUGGCCCGGUGUGAAAAACUCCGGUGGUGUAAGAUGGAACCGCGUCUGAUUAGCUUGUUGGCGGGGUAGAGGCCCACCAAGGCGACGAUCAGUAGCCGGCCUGAGAGGGUGGACGGCCACAUUGGGACUGAGACACGGCCCAAACUCCUACGGAAGGCAGCAG
rnacentral:rRNA from 1 species